rnacentral:rRNA from 1 species
UAUUAUUCAAUAUGUAAACCUAUUUACUAGAGUAGUAGAAGUUAUGUUCUUGAAACUCAAAGAAUUUGGCGGUAAUUUAGUCUAUUUAGGGGAAUCUGUUCAGUGAUUGAUAAUACACGAUUAUUUUUACUUUAUUUUAUGAUUUGUAUAUCGCCGUCGUAAGAAUAUUUUGUUAAGAAUAUAAAAUUUCUUGAUUUUUUAUUAUAAAUUAUGUCAGGUCAUGUUGCAGUUGAUAAUAAAGAUGAAAUGGAUUACAAUAAUUAUAAUUAUUACGGAUAAUUAAUUUAAAUGUUAUUUUGAAGGUGGAUUUAAUUGUAAAGUUAUUUUAAUUAAUAUUUUGAUUUUAGCUCUAAAUUGUGUACAUAUUGCCCGUCGCUCUCAUUAUAAAAUGAG